GCCGCCCGCUCCUCCCCGGCAGCCGCCGGCCUCGCGUCCGCCCCUCUCUGCCCGUCUGCGCGUGUCCUUCCUUUCCCCGCGGCCCUUCCCUCCUCGUCCUCCCUCCUCUCCUCUCCGUUCCCGCCCUCUCCGCCUUGCGCCCACACCCCAGGGCUCCUUCCCCCACCUCUCCUUCCCCUCGCCCUCCUCGUCUCCUCAAAGCCCACAGCUCCCCGCAUCCUCCGUUUGUCCCAGGACCGGCCCCUCUUUCCCCUCCUGCCUUCUGACUUGUGGGUUUGGUUUGCACCGACGUCCGCAGGCUGUCCUGAGGCCAAAAGAAAACACAGGCAAAGUCCAGUUUGUCUUUUGACUCCUGGUCCUUUGAUGUUGGGUACCACACUCACUCAUCCCAGGUGACUGGGGAAUGGGGGUUUCCUCUGCUGAAUGGUUUCAAGCCAUCUCAUUCUUCAUCUCAACUUCAAUGUCAUCUACCAAAAGGCCUUCUCUGACAACCACCGAAUCUGACUGGCCUGCAAGCCACAGCUACUGAGCCCGUGUGCCACGAUUACUGAG